rnacentral:lncRNA from 1 species
UUUAUAUUGUAACUGGGAUUAGGUUUUUUUGUUGCGGUGAAGUCCAUGUUUGUAAUAAUCUAUAGAUUUAUUUUUUUUUUUUUCUUUUGUUUUUUUUUAGUUUUGUUUUUUAUAUUAUUUAUUGGGUGGGGUGUGUGGUGUGUGUUGUUUUUUUUUUUUUUUUUUUUUUUUUUUAUUUCUUUUUUCUUUUUUUUUUUCGAUAUUAUUUUUUUUUUUUUUUUUUUUUUUUUUUUUUUUUAUUUUUUUUUUUUUUUUUUUUUUUUUUUUUUUUUUUUUUUUUUCGAUUUUCUCUCUCCUCCUCGCUCUCCCCUCUCUCCCCCCCUUGUGCGCAGUUUUUUUUAUUCCUUCAUGUUUGGGCGUUU